rnacentral:lncRNA from 1 species
UUCUUGUUUAAUCUCUACGCAACGUGUCUUUAAAUGAGUUAGCAUUCAUGUUUAGGAUCAAGCGCAAAGAUGGUUCUAAAUACUUGAGGAGUCUUAACAAUUAGAUAACCGCAAAGGCUCUAAUUAGAAUCGGAAUUGGUUAGAGUCUAGGAUAAUUUGAACGUUGCUGCCCGGCCUUACAUGAAGUUGUUAUGUGUUCUUGAUGGUUUUUCGUGUUAUGUGUUGCAUGAGUAUGUUGAUCAUUUGUAUAUAAUAAUCUUAGGUUUAAUUUUCAGUAGGUUAUUUGUUAGAAUUAAUCAAUCUUAAACCCCCAAUAUUUCAAUAUAUAUGUGAAUAUUUGUUUAUAAGUUGUUUGGUUUAUCUUCUUUCGAUCGCCCUUUGGUUUCCCCGGCUAGAACGAUCCCUACUUGUCCAUAUUACUACGAUUGCAGGGUAAUUAAAUUGAAGUUGUUUGACCCCGGUUACGCGACACGUCACGGACGACGUCCGCACUUUAAGCCGGAGUGCGGACGUCCUCUUCACAUCCUCUCUGUUUAAAGGAAAUCAACAAACUAAAUAAGUAAAAUUAACUUUGACUACUAUUGUCAUUUUGUAAGUCCGAUCCUCUUCAAUCUCGUUCUAUAGUUGAUCUAUUGUAAUAAACUACAUUAUUUAAAUGAAGAACUUUUUUUAUAUUGGUUAAAACCUAUAACUAUUGCAUUACUCAUCCCGAUCUUGUGUAUUUUUUGUCAUAAUAAUCUACAUUUUUUGAAUAAGUUAUAUAAGUUUAUGUAUAUGCAUUUUUUCUAGUAUAUUGUGCAUAAAUUUAAUUAUAUACUAGUAUGUGUACUAUAAAAUAGUCUUAUUACCCAAAAAAAAAAAAACCAUAUGAUAGUCUACUAAGUCUAGUAUUUCAACAUUAAAAAUAUUAUAAUUGAAUGGAUAAUUUUAGGGCCAAUGAUAAAAUGGUACAUUUAGAAGUAAUAAAUGAUAAAACUGUUAACAAAUGUUCCUUGAUGAUAAAACAAUACACCCAUUUAAAUUCUUUAAACCGUUGCCCAUAAAUUUUAAAAAUAUUACAUAUCAUGCCAUUAACAAAAUAAUAACAUAUUAACCAUUAUAUAUCUCUCUCACUCACUCUCAACUCAUCUCCCUCACUCUCUCUCUCUC